rnacentral:rRNA from 1 species
GACGAACGCUGGCGGCGUGCCUAAUACAUGCAAGUCGAACGCACGGGGGACGGGUGAGUAACACCUGGGUAACCGCCCAUAAGAGGGGAUAACACUUGGAAACAGGUGCUAAACCGAUACUGAUGGAUGGACCCGCGGUGUAUUAGCUUGUUGGUGAGGUAACGGCUCACCAAGGCCACGCUGCCUAGCCGAGCUGAGAGGGUGAUCGGCCACACUGGAACUGAGACACGGCCCAGACUCCUACGGGAGGCAGCAGUAGGGAACCUUCGGCAAUGGACGAAAGUCUGACCGAGCCACGCCGCGUGUGUGAAGAAGGUUUUCGGGUCGUAAAGCUCUGUCGUUAGGGAAGCGUUAUCUACCCAGAAAGCCCCGGCUAACUACGUGCCAGCAGCCGCGGUAAUUC